rnacentral:rRNA from 1 species
ACAGCAGUCGCCGCGGUAAUACGUAGGUCCCGAGCGUUGUCCGGAUUUAUUGGGCGUAAAGCGAGCGCAGGCGGUUAGAUAAGUCUGAAGUUAAAGGCUGUGGCUUAACCAUAGUACGCUUUGGAAACUGUUUAACUUGAGUGCAAGAGGGGAGAGUGGAAUUCCAUGUGUAGCGGUGAAAUGCGUAGGUAUAUGGAGGAACACCGGUGGCGAAAGCGGCUCUCUGGCUUGUAACUGACGCUGAGGCUCGAAAGCGUGGGGAGCAAACAGGAUUAGAUACCCGUGUAGUCCCUGUCUCUUAUACA